CAGCUCGCAGGGUGUAAACAGCUAGUGAAUCAUAGAAUUUUUUAAAAUUCAUGAUGUCGUAAGGGAAAAUAAUGAUAAUACCUUACUAUGAGUGUCGUCCAAAUCUGGUGCCAGAAGACUCGGUAAGACCAGAGACGCAAACGUUAAUCAUCAUAAACAGGCGUAAAGGGUUUGUAGGCAGCUUUCACCAAACUAUGAUUACAAAAUAAAGUAGUUUAAUUGAAAGCUAGAAUCAAAAAGAGGUUAUAGUGUAUAACGCCUAGAGGAGGGCUGAUAUCCAUAGAUCCUAGGCAGAAUACUCAGGGCGAAGGCCACUCUCCACUACUGAUUGACGCUGAGAAACGAAGGUUAGGGUAGGAAAUAGGAUUAGAUACCCCGGUACUCCUUUCUGUAAACGAUGAAUGGUAGUCAUUAGUUUUAUAACUAGAGACGAAGUUAACACAAUAACCAUUCCGCCUUGUGAGUACUACUGCAAAGUAGAAAACAAAAAAAUUAGUCGGUCUCGAACAAACGGCAUUGAAGCAGUUAUUUAAUUCUAUAAUCCGCAAAU
rnacentral:rRNA from 1 species